UACGUAGGGGGCGAGCGUUUGUCCGGAUUUAUUGGGCGUAAAGAGCUCGUAGGCGGCUUGGCAAGUCGGGUGUGAAACCUCCAGCUCAACCUGGAGACGCCACUCGAUACUGCCAUGGCUAGAGUCCGGUAGGGGACCACGGAAUUCCUGGUGUAGCGGUGAAAUGCGCAGAUAUCAGGAGGAACACCGGUGGCGAAGGCGGUGGUCUGGGCCGGCACUGACGCUGAGGAGCGAAAGCGUGGGUAGCAAACAGG
rnacentral:rRNA from 1 species